AGCAGUUCACGGUGCUGUGGAUGCUCUUCAUCUCCAUCGUGGUGGGGAACGUGGCUGUGAUCGCCGCCCUCAUGCUCUCUAAGACCAGAAAGUCCAGGACCAACUUCUUCAUCAUGCACCUGGCGCUGGCUGACUUGUCAGUGGGACUGAUCAGCGUGCUCACAGACAUCGUGUGGAAGAGCACAGUCUCCUGGAACGCAGGAAAUGUUGGCUGCAAGGCCGUCAGAUUCGCCCAAGUGUUGGUGACGUAUUCGUCGACGUACGUGCUGGUGGCGCUCAGUAUUGACCGUUAUGACGCCAUAACCCAUCCCAUGAACUUCUCCGGCAGCUGGCGGCGAGCCCGGAGGCUGGUGUUGGUGGCCUGGUUACUCUCAGCUGUAUUCGCUUCCCCCAGCUUAGUCUUCUUUAUGGAGGCUCGUGUAGACGGGGCCAUACAGUGCUGGAUUGACUUCCCAGAGGCGUGGCAGUGGAAGCUGUACAUGACACUGGUGGCUCUGAGCGUCUUCCUCUUCCCCACCGUCAUCAUCACCGCCUGCUACGCCAUCAUCGUCUACACCAUCUGGUCCAAGAGCAAGAUCAUGACGGUCAACAGCAAGGCCCUCGGCUCCAAGAACGGAGAGAAGCGAGGCGGCCACCACGAGGACGACUCCCGGAGGGCCAGCUCCCGAGGCCUCAUCCCCAAGGCCAAGAUCAAGACUGUCAAGAUGACUCUCGUCAUUGUCUUCGUGUUCAUCCUGUGCUGGUCGCCGUACAUCGUGUUCGACCUGCUGCAGGUGUACGGGUACGUGCCUCAGAGCCCCACCAACGUGGCCGUGGCCACCUUCAUACAGUCCCUGGCCCCCCUCAACUCAGCCGCCAACCCCAUCAUCUACUGCCUCUUCUCGACUCACAUUUGUCGCAACCUCAGAAGAAUCCCAGCGGUAGAAUGGGUGGUGAGGCGCGCUUUCCCCUGCCUGGAAUGCGCGCAGGAGCCGCUGGAACCUGUCCACCGUUUCCAGCGCUACGGUACAGAGUACACGACUGUGUCUGAUGCUUCCAGCCGCCGCCACACCCUCACCUCUGUCAGCUCCUCGUCCACCACCAAGCCUCUCCCGCGACCACCUCUCAAAAGACCAUACCUAGACAAGUGUGCGGAGGCUGUCACCCUUAAGGGUUGACCUUGUAGUCGUCUCCCUCUGGCCCCUCCACCCUUAGGGUGGGGCAGCUACCCUCGGGUAGGAAAGGGGAGGGGACUAGGGCAAGGGAGUAUCACCCAAUAAGAGCAGGGGCGGAGCUGAACCAGGGGUCGUCCCUAGCCACGACGACCACACUACCCAGGGAGUACCUCAACACCGAGCUCCUCACAUACAAUACCAAGCGCAGCCACGACACCUUGAUCCGGG
rnacentral:misc_RNA from 1 species